AAUACCAGCACCCCGAGUGGUCGGGACGAUUAUUGGGCCUAAAGCAUCCGUAGCCGGUUCUGCAAGUCUCCCGUUAAAUCCAACUGCUCAACAGGUGGGCUGCGGAGGAUACUACAGAGCUAGGAGGCAGGAGAGGCAAGCGGUACUCAGUGGGUAGGGGUAAAAUCCGUUGAUCCAUUGAAGACCACCAGUGGCGAAGGCGGCUUGCCAGAAUGCGCUCGACGGUGAGGGAUGAAAGCUGGGGGAGCAAACCGGA
rnacentral:rRNA from 1 species